GAGAUUGCUGAUUGAUAAACAAUGAAAGAGGGUCCGUCUAGAUGUAGAUCCUGGCUCAGGAUCCAUUCAGAGGGGGGGCAGGCCUAAUACAUGCAAGUCGAGGGGCAGCAUGGGUAGCAAUACCUGAUGGCGACCGGCAAACGGGUGCGGAACACGUACGCAACCUUCCUUCGAGCGGGGAAUAGCCCAGAGAAAUUUGGAUUAAUACCCCAUAAGAAUGUGGACUGGCAUCAGUCAGCAUUUAAAGAUUUAUCACUUGAAGAUGGGCGUGCGUCUGAUUAGAUAGUUGGUGAGGUAACGGCUCACCAAGUCAACGAUCAGUAACUGGCGUGAGAGCGCGAUCAGUCACACGGGCACUGAGACACGGGCCCGACUCCUACGGGAGGCAGCAGUAAGGAAUAUUGGUCAAUGGACGGAAGUCUGAACCAGCCAUGCCGCGUGGAGGAUGAAGGCCCUCUGGGUUGUAAACUUCUUUUAUUUGGGACGAAACACUCUUUUUCUAAAGAGCUUGACGGUACCAGAUGAAUAAGCACCGGCUAACUCCGUGCCAGCAGCCGCGGUAAUACGA
rnacentral:rRNA from 1 species